rnacentral:rRNA from 1 species
CGUUAGCGGCGGACGGGUGAGUAACACGUGGGUAACCUACCUAUAAGACUGGGACAACUUCGGGAAACCGGAGCUAAUACCGGAUAAGAUAUCGAACCGCAUGGUUCGAUAGUGAAAGAUGGUUUUGCUAUCACUUAUAGAUGGACCCGCGCCGUAUUAGCUAGUUGGUGAGGUAACGGCUCACCAAGGCAACGAUACGUAGCCGACCUGAGAGGGUGAUCGGCCACACUGGAACUGAGACACGGUCCAGACUCCUACGGGAGGCAGCAGA